rnacentral:lncRNA from 1 species
ACUCUAGUCAGCAUUUUUCCAGGGUUUCAGCUGUUGAGAUGGUAGAACUGCUGUCUUUUUGUGCAAGGAUGGUCCUGCACCAUUUGGCUAAUGUCCAUUUCAGGUUGUACCUAGGGGAACUUCUUUUUUUCCACUAUGGGCCUGGGUGCGAUAGAGUCUUUGUGGGACUUUAUAUAUACAAAAAGCCUAGGGCAGGCUGGGGCUGGUAUUCUUUGGUGUUUCCAUAUUUGUGGGAAGAAGUCUUGCCUUGUUAUUCAAUCCACGGUUGCCCUUAGUUCGGUGGUCAGGUCCUUAUGUAUUAUCUCUGGUUGUGUCGCCUUGAUAUAUUCUUCCAGAAACUUGUGAUAUUUCUUUGUCUCUGAGGACCAUUUUCUUCAUUUUAUCCUCUCUUGUGAUUGUGUAUUCAUUCUCCUUCAGCUAUUGGAGAGUUUUCUGUAGGAGGUAGGUGUCAUGGCGGCUAUGGCUUACGGCAACUUAGGAACAGGGCCGGCGUGACCUUUUGCGGGGCCAGGUUCAAAAAUUUUGUGAGGCCUGAAUACACAUUCAAAUCCUAUUCAUUUGGG